rnacentral:rRNA from 1 species
GACGAACGCUGGCGGCGUGCUUAACACAUGCAAGUCGAACGGAAAGGCCCUGCUUUUGUUGGGUGCUCGAGUGGCGAACGGGUGAGUAACACGUGAGUAACCUGCCCUUGACUUUGGGAUAACUUCAGGAAACUGGGGCUAAUACCGGAUAGGAGCUCCUGCUGCUUGGUGGGGGUUGGAAAGUUUGGGCGGUUGGGGAUGGACUCGCGGCUUAUCAGCUUGUUGGUGGGGUAGUGGCAUUCCAAGGCUUUGACGGGUAGCCGGCCUGAGAGGGUGACCGGCCACAUUGGGACUGAGAUACGGCCCAGACUCCUACGGGAGGCAGCAGUGGGGAAUAUUUCAGAAUGGGCGGAAGCCUGAUGCAGCAACGCCGCGUGCGGGAUGACGGCCUUCGGGUUGUAAACCGCUUUCGCCUGUGACGAAGCGUGAGUGACGGUAAUGGGUAAAGAAGCACCGGCUAACUACGUG